UACGUAGGGCGCAAGCGUUGUCCGGAAUUAUUGGGAGUAAAGAGCUCGUAGGCGGCCUGUUGCGUCCGCUGUGAAAUCCCGGGGCUCAACCCCGGGCGUGCAGUGGAUACGGGCUGGCUGGAGGCAGGCAGGGGAGAACGGAAUUCCUGGUGUAGCGGUGAAAUGCGCAGAUAUCAGGAAGAACACCCGUGGCUAAGGCGGCUCUCUAGUACGGUACUGACGCUGAGACGCGAAAGCGUGGGGAGCGAACAGG
rnacentral:rRNA from 1 species